rnacentral:lncRNA from 1 species
UCUAUCUAAAUACAUUUUUUUUUUGAGCAAAAGGGAAAAACCUAUCUAUUACAAUUUGACAUUUAAAUGCCUCCCAAACAAUCAUUAAAAAUAAAAUAAAAUAAAUGAAAACUUAAAAUGAAUAACAUGAAAAAUGAAAGAAAAAGCAUUCAAAACAUGCAAUCACACAUAAAAAAUAUAUAGGAGCAUAUAAAAGAAUUUAAAAUAAUAAUAGAAGGUACUUCCUUUGAAAUAGUGGUUAAAUGAGGUAGAAUUUGCUCUAUUUAUACUCCAAAAUCAACAAAAUAGUCAAAGUACCAAUUUAAUUAACAAUUUAAAAGACAAUGUAAACAUAUAGCAAAUUCACUCUAUUAUUUUAAAGAAAUAUGAAUAAACAUAAAAUCCCUAAAAUUUACUAUUUAAAUGAAGUAUUAUUAACAAUUUAAAGAAGAUAAAUAAUUGUAAUUGAGAAAUAAUAAAGAUUAGGGACUUAAUUGCAAACAUUUAAAAUUUUUGGGGUCAAAUUAAAUUUUUAAAGAAAUGGGCGUCAAACUUGGAUAAAAGAUAAAGUUUAGAGACCAAAAUAUAAUUAAAUUAAGGACCUAAUUGAAAGAAGUUCAAACUUUUUAGGGUUUAGAGACCUAAUUGCAAAAUUUUGUGUCAGAUUUAACCAGAAAAUAAGCCCUGGGCCGGUUCUAUGUUAUUUCUCGGGCCAUACCUCCAACUGCCCAAGCAAAAAUCGGAUUUUUAUUUUAAAAAAAAAAAUCAGCCCAUUUGUUUUAUUAAACCAAAUCCAACAAAAAAAACGUUGGGUUUGACCACCAAAGCCCACGUACAAACCCAAACAAAAAUAAAUUCUUGACCCACUCUUUAGUCCAAAAACAGGUUUCAUUAAACAUUUAUAACAACAAAAUGAAUCUAAUCAUUACAAACAAAACCAAAAUAAUAAGAACAAAAAUAGAAAGAAAAUUGGCAAGAACUUUCAAGCGGGUAUGAAGUUUCUAGUGGGUCGACCUGCCGAAAACUGCAAAAUUCCAGUCAAAUUGGCCGGAAUAUCGCUGGAAUCCCUUUUUUAAAACCCUUAGGACCGAAACUUUACAUAUACAUGGGACUCAUGGCAUUCUGAACUCAAACAAACAUCCAAUAAGGUCCUAAAAUCAAAUAAUGAUAGCAAAAAUAUGGAUCUAAGUUUCUUGAACAUAAACUUCCAUAAACACCCUCAAAUCCCUUGUAUAAACAUUGAAUCAAACAAGGAGAAGUUGAGGAAAUACUUGAGGAUGCUUUCGGAUCAAAUUAAAACAAAAAAAAACGCGACGAGGAUAGAUUUGUUGAAACUUCAAAUGUGCAUCAGUGAAGUUGGACCAGCAACUUCGGAGGUGAAUUAGAAGGGUUUUUCGUCAUUUUUUGCGCAAGAUUUCUAAACCAAGCUUGCUCUCCCAACUUCAUAGAUUGUGUAGAAACUGAAAGCUCCUCAAACGAAGUUUUAUUGAAGGAGAAAAUUAGGUUGAAAGAGGGCUGCAGAGCCAGCCUUUUCUACAAAAUUUUUCCAGUAAAAAAUUCCUUUCUUUCCUCUAUUUUUCCUUCUUUUCCCUCUCUCUUUCUUUCUGCCGUUACCCCUUACCCUUCCAGAAAUGCACUCUUCCCUUUUAAAUAAAAUUAAAACCCAAAACCCUCAUCUCAAUGGUGGAUAUGAAAACCGGUUUUGUUGGCUUAUUUUGGGCCAUUUGAUGGUUUUGUUUCCAGGGGAUUCUUGAUAAUUCUUAUAGGAAUGAGGUGGCACUUUGUACUGGUGUGCUUGGGAGGAAAGAAAAGGAAGAAA